AUGGAGAUUCCCAUGGGGACCCAGGGCUGCUUCUCAAAGAGCCUCCUGCUCUCAGCCCUUCCCUGUAACUUCCCACAGCCUCAAUCCUGGUCCUCUGGAUGCUCCAAGGCUCCCAGGCAGCUCUCUACAUCCAGAAGAUUCCAGAGCAGCCUCAAAAGAACCAGGACCUUCUCCUGUCAGUCCAGGGUGUCCCAGACACCUUCCAGGACUUCAACUGGUACCUGGGGGAGGAGACGUACGGAGGCACGAGGCUAUUUACCUACAUCCCUGGGAUACAACGGCCUCAGAGGGAUGGCAGUGCCAUGGGACAGCGAGACAUCGUGGGCUUCCCCAAUGGUUCCAUGCUGCUGCGCCGCGCCCAGCCUACAGACAGUGGCACCUACCAAGUAGCCAUUACCAUCAACUCUGAAUGGACUAUGAAGGCCAAGACUGAGGUCCAGGUAGCUGAUUGAAAAAUGGAGGCACGCAGUGGUUAUGACUUGCUGAGUAAAGAAUACGAACCAGAAUGAUGUGACAUGGGAAAGGAGGUCAUCAGGGAGACCUCACUCAAGAAGUGACCUUAGAGGAGAGACCAGAAGAAGACUGCCUGCUCCGAGGGGCCAGGGAUCUCUGUCCAUCUUGUGCUCGGCUGUAUCCCCAGUGCCUUCAGUGACGCCCAGCACAUGGAUGGCGACCACAGAGAAGCCAGAAUUGGGCCCUGCUCAUGAUGCUGGUGACAACAACAUCUAUGAAGUGAUGCCCUCUCCAGUCCUCCUGGUGUCCCCCAUCAGUGACACAAGGUCCAUAAACCCAGCCCGGCCCCUGCCCACACCCCCACACCUGCAGGCGGAGCCAGAGAACCACCAGUACCAGGACCUGCUAAACCCCGACCCUGCCCCCUACUGCCAGCUGGUGCCAACUUCCUGAUGGGUCCUGGGCCAGGCCAGCCAGGGAGAAGACAAGGCCCCAGCCCUCCUCUGGGAGCCUCACACCUGAGACCAGCAGGACAAGGCCAUUGGGGGCUGUGGGGCCGAUGAGGUGGACUCAGCCAAAGACUCAGCAGCACAUGGGGCAGGUGUCCUGGCAGGGGGACAGGAGACUGUAACAGGCCCAGGUCCUUGUGCAGCCCGUGAAUGCACGCCCGCCUUCGGUCUGUUCCUUCAAGCAAGCUGGCCUGGGCCAUGUGCCUGUGAAAGGCAGGCUCUGGCCCCUUUCCAUGCCAAAGUCCCCCAAGAUCUGGAUAUCUGGGGACAAGAUGGUGGCCUCAGGCCUGCCUCCCAGGCAGUUGGCUGGGCUCCCAACUGUCUGUCCUCAAUGCCCUACCCCAACUCCACUAGUGACCCUCAGAGUCUUCUCCCCUUAGGACAAGGCAGACACCCCACCAUGCGGGCCUCAGGUGGCAGAGAGGCCCAGCCUCACAGGCCUGUGGCCCCACACACCAGUCCCAGCAAGGUGACCACGGCUGCUGGACCCCUUCCCUGUUCAGGCAGGCCCAGCCCCUCUCAGAACCUGCUGCCAGCUGCUGGUCUUGGCCCCCACCCUGAAUCUUACUGAGUCCCUCUGGGCAGCAGCUCCCUUCUCCACCCCACCCCAGCACCCGUCCCAAAUGUGGCCUCAGCUUGUCCUCCCCUUCCCCAAACUAUGCAUUCAUUCAGCAAUAAAUGAGCCUUUGCUGUAUGCCAGACCCAGUUCUAGGCUCUUGCAGCCCUGGUAGAAAGCAAAACAAAAACUCCCGCUUUCCCAGAGGGUCACUUGGCAGGGGAAAGAAUCAGGAAAUAAAAUAAAUAAUGAA
rnacentral:misc_RNA from 1 species